rnacentral:rRNA from 1 species
GUUCGGAUUGCAGGCUGCAACCCGCCUGUAUGAAGUUGGAAUCGCUAGUAAUCGCGGAUCAGCAUGCCGCGGUGAAUACGUUCCCGGGCCUUGUACACACCGCCCGUCACACCAUGAGAGUCGGGAACACCCGAAGUCCGUAGUCUAACCGCAAGGGGACGCGGCCGAAGGUGGGUUCGAUAAUUGGGGUGAAGUCGUAACAAGGUACC